rnacentral:rRNA from 1 species
GUCAGGGAAUAAACCCCCCGUACGUUUGCGGGGCUGAAGGUACCUGAAGAAUAAGCAUCGGCUAACUCCGUGCCAGCAGCCGCGGUAAUACGGAGGAUGCAAGCGUUAUCCGGAUUCAUUGGGUUUAAAGGGUGCGCAGGCGGAUUGGUAAGUCAGGGGUGAAAUCCCACAGCUCAACUGUGGAACUGCCUUUGAUACUGUCAGUCUUGAGUAUAGUUGAAGUGGGCGGAAUGUGUCAUGUAGCGGUGAAAUGCUUAGAUAUGACACAGAACACCGAUCGCGAAGGCAGCUCGCUAAACUAUAACUGACGCUCAUGCACGAAAGCGUGGGGAUCAAACAGGAUUAGAUACGCUGGUAGUCCACGCCGUAAACGAUGAUUACUCGAUGUUGGCGAUACACAGUCAGCGUCUGAGCGAAAGCAAUAAGUAAUCCACCUGGGGAGUACGAUCGCAAGAUUGAAACUCAAAGGAAUUGACGGGGGCCCGCACAAGCGGAGGAGCAUGUGGUUUAAUUCGAUGAUACGCGAGGAACCUUACCUGGGCUAGAACGUAGAGUGACUGUGGGUGAAAGCCUACUUCCCUUCGGGGCAGUCUACGAGGUGCUGCAUGGUUGUCGUCAACUCGUGCCGUGAGGUGUCGGGUUAAGUCCCAUAACGAGCGCAACCCCUAUCUUUAGUUGCCAACAGGUCAAGCUGGGGACUCUAAAGAAACUGCCUACGCAAGUAGUGAGGAAGGUGGGGAUGACGUCAAAUCAGCACGGCCCUUACGUCCAGGGCUACACACGUGCUACAAUGGCCGAUACAGAGGGCAGCUACCAGGUGACUGGAUGCAAAUCUCCAAAGUCGGUCUCAGUUCGGAUCGGAGUCUGCAACCCGACUCCGUGAAGUUGGAUUCGCUAGUAAUCGCGCAUCAGCCAUGGCGCGGUGAAUACGUUCCCGGGCCUUGCACACACCGCCCGU